AUCUGAACGGAUUUAGGUGAUUUCCCAACAAAUAGCCAGGAGUAGCUCAAAGCGACUGCCUCUCCGUCUUUGGUCGUUGAGCUUAAAAUUAGAGCUCGUUUGGAAAGAAACUUCUAAAGUAUCUGCCUCGACUAUGUAUCUUCUUGGAUGAUCUCGAUUUAACAAUUUUCUUUCUACAAAAUAUACCAUCUGCAGAAACCAAAACAGUACAUCAUGAUUUUGUGAAUGUGUAUCUUCAUAGUGAAAACCGUAUUUGAAUACUUGCCACCAUGAUUUGCUUAAGGAAGAAAUCCACUGGAAAAGUUUACACAGCAAAGGUGUGUGUCUGCGUGUGUGUGUGUGUGUGUGUGCAUGCCUGUGCAUGUGCUCAUUUUAAAAAUCAGAUAUGACUUGUCCUUUAACUUUAGUUGGCAGAGACAGAAAAGUGCAAAUUCAGUAAAUAAUUGACUUACACAAUAUGUGACAAUAAAUACUCUAAUUUUCUGUGACAUCUAAAAGUUAUAAUUCUUUACUCAGUAGAAGACAGCUAUCAGGUGCUAAAAUAAAAAAAAGAUACCUAACCCAAUAAAGGCAAAAUCUUAGUUAUAUUAACCAGCAAGGUACAUAUUACAUUAUUAUUACUAGACCAUGCCUCCAAGUGUGUCAAAUUAUAAAAAUGUGUUCAGCAUACAUAAAAUAUACAUUAAAGAUUUCUCUCAUCAUAGGCACAAUCUAAUACAAAAAUAUAUUUGACAUUUAUAAGUUAGAAGAUCCAUUGAGAGCCUCCAAAAUAGGACAGGGGAAGGAAUGAGUGAUGACAACAUAAAAAAAGAAGCACACAUAGAUGCAAAUAGUUCCACUUAUAUGAUUAUUUUCUUCAUCAGCAAAGGGUUAAGAGCAGUUUACACCAAACCAAGUUACCAAGCAGAUCACAAUCAGUUCACAGGUUGGAUAAGUCACGGCACGCAGGCCAGAAAAUGUACUCAGACUUCAGUCAACCUAAUGGGACAGUGUACUCACACUGUGGUUUUGUUGUUUUGGAGUCUAGAAGCUCCAUCUACCCAUUCUCCAUGGUCUACCACCAUGUUAACACAGAUUUACCACAGGCGCCAUCUGUACCAAGCCUAGGAUAGACUCUUUAAAAAAAAAAA
rnacentral:lncRNA from 1 species